GCUCUAUUCAAAUUCAACAAAUAGAAUAUUUAUCUGUGUGUGCGUGCUCUAUAUACAAUCAAAUAUACAUACAUUUACAUUAGUGUUACAUAUACACGUGAGCCAAAACGAACAGAGAUUCAAAUCGUGUAACCGUAACCAAUAACGUCACUCCAACUGUAACGGUCAGCAACGCUGUCAUCGCCGCACUCGCGCCUCUCUCUUUCACGAAGAAAGAUAACAGCAAAAAAGAAAGAAACGCGGUGUAACGGUUGGCUCGUUAUAUGUUAGGCGCGUCUAUCGUUAUUUCGCGAAUAUUCGGCGUUCGUCGUCCUUGUUUAUUGGCCGUGGUGUAAGCGAUUUUCCUCGCUCUUUUUAUCCAUCACUUGUGUUCGUCUUUGCUAUCGUCUACGUGUUUUGAGGAAAGUAAAAUAGCGCAAAUCGCGAACUGCUUGUUGAAAAAUCGGAUAAUAAUUAAAGCACGACUUAUCGCUUAAUUUACCAGCAUUAAAUAGGGCAAACAUUUAGAACAGAGGACGCAGUGAGA